GGUUAAGCGACUAAGCGUACACGGUGGAUGCCCUGGCAGUCAGAGGCGAUGAAGGACGUGCUAAUCUGCGAAAAGCGUCGGUAAGGUGAUAUGAACCGUUAUAACCGGCGAUGUCCGAAUGGGGAAACCCAGUGUGAUUCGUCACACUAUCGUUAACUGAAUACAUAGGUUAACGAGGCGAACCGGGGGAACUGAAACAUCUAAGUACCCCGAGGAAAAGAAAUCAACCGAGAUUCCCCCAGUAGCGGCGAGCGAACGGGGAGCAGCCCAGAGUCUGAAUCAGCUUGUGUGUUAGUGGAACGGUCUGGAAAGUCCGACGGUACAGGGUGAUAGUCCCGUACACCAAAAUGCACAGGCUGUGAACUCGAAGAGUAGGGCGGGACACGUGGUAUCCUGUCUGAAUAUGGGGGGACCAUCCUCCAAGGCUAAAUACUCCUGACUGACCGAUAGUGAACCAGUACCGUGAGGGAAAGGCGAAAAGAACCCCGGCGAGGGGAGUGAAAAAGAACCUGAAACCGUGUACGUACAAGCAGUGGGAGCACCUUCGGGUGUGACUGCGUACCUUUUGUAUAAUGGGUCAGCGACUUAUAUUCUGUAGCAAGGUUAACCGUAUAGGGGAGCCGCAGGGAAACCGAGUCUUAACUGGGCGUUAAGUUGCAGGGUAUAGACCCGAAACCCGGUGAUCUAGCCAUGGGCAGGUUGAAGGUUGGGUAACACUAACUGGAGGACCGAACCGACUAAUGUUGAAAAAUUAGCGGAUGACUUGUGGCUGGGGGUGAAAGGCCAAUCAAACCGGGAGAUAGCUGGUUCUCCCCGAAAGCUAUUUAGGUAGCGCCUCGUGAAUUCAUCUUCGGGGGUAGAGCACUGUUUCGGCUAGGGGGUCAUCCCGACUUACCAACCCGAUGCAAACUACGAAUACCGAAGAAUGUUAUCACGGGAGACACACGGCGGGUGCUAACGUCCGUCGUGAAGAGGGAAACAACCCAGACCGCCAGCUAAGGUCCCAAAGUCAUGGUUAAGUGGGAAACGAUGUGGGAAGGCACAGACAGCCAGGAUGUUGGCUUAGAAGCAGCCAUCAUUUAAAGAAAGCGUAAUAGCUCACUGGUCGAGUCGGCCUGCGCGGAAGAUGUAACGGGGCUAAACCAUGCACCGAAGCUGCGGCAGCGACACUAUGUGUUGUUGGGUAGGGGAGCGUUCUGUAAGCCUGCGAAGGUGACCUGUGAGGGUUGCUGGAGGUAUCAGAAGUGCGAAUGCUGACAUAAGUAACGAUAAAGCGGGUGAAAAGCCCGCUCGCCGGAAGACCAAGGGUUCCUGUCCAACGUUAAUCGGGGCAGGGUGAGUCGACCCCUAAGGCGAGGCCGAAAGGCGUAGUCGAUGGGAAACAGGUUAAUAUUCCUGUACUUGGUGUUACUGCGAAGGGGGGACGGAGAAGGCUAUGUUAGCCGGGCGACGGUUGUCCCGGUUUAAGCAUGUAGGCUGGUUAUCCAGGCAAAUCCGGAUAAUCAAGGCUGAGGUGUGAUGACGAGGUACUACGGUGCUGAAGUAACAAAUGCCCUGCUUCCAGGAAAAGCCUCUAAGCAUCAGGUAACAUCAAAUCGUACCCCAAACCGACACAGGUGGUCAGGUAGAGAAUACCAAGGCGCUUGAGAGAACUCGGGUGAAGGAACUAGGCAAAAUGGUGCCGUAACUUCGGGAGAAGGCACGCUGGUGUGUAGGUGAAGUCCCUGCGGAUGGAGCUGAGACCAGUCGAAGAUACCAGCUGGCUGCAACUGUUUAUUAAAAACACAGCACUGUGCAAACACGAAAGUGGACGUAUACGGUGUGACGCCUGCCCGGUGCCGGAAGGUUAAUUGAUGGGGUUAUCCGUAAGGAGAAGCUCUUGAUCGAAGCCCCGGUAAACGGCGGCCGUAACUAUAACGGUCCUAAGGUAGCGAAAUUCCUUGUCGGGUAAGUUCCGACCUGCACGAAUGGCGUAAUGAUGGCCAGGCUGUCUCCACCCGAGACUCAGUGAAAUUGAACUCGCUGUGAAGAUGCAGUGUACCCGCGGCAAGACGGAAAGACCCCGUGAACCUUUACUAUAGCUUGACACUGAACAUUGAGCCUUGAUGUGUAGGAUAGGUGGGAGGCUUUGAAGCGUGGACGCCAGUCUGCGUGGAGCCAACCUUGAAAUACCACCCUUUAAUGUUUGAUGUUCUAACGUUGGCCCCUGACCGGGGUUGCGGACAGUGUCUGGUGGGUAGUUUGACUGGGGCGGUCUCCUCCCAAAGCGUAACGGAGGAGCACGAAGGUUAGCUAAUCCUGGUCGGACAUCAGGAGGUUAGUGCAAUGGCAUAAGCUAGCUUGACUGCGAGCGUGACGGCGCGAGCAGGUGCGAAAGCAGGUCAUAGUGAUCCGGUGGUUCUGAAUGGAAGGGCCAUCGCUCAACGGAUAAAAGGUACUCCGGGGAUAACAGGCUGAUACCGCCCAAGAGUUCAUAUCGACGGCGGUGUUUGGCACCUCGAUGUCGGCUCAUCACAUCCUGGGGCUGAAGUAGGUCCCAAGGGUAUGGCUGUUCGCCAUUUAAAGUGGUACGCGAGCUGGGUUUAGAACGUCGUGAGACAGUUCGGUCCCUAUCUGCCGUGGGCGCUGGAGAAUUGAGGGGGGCUGCUCCUAGUACGAGAGGACCGGAGUGGACGCAUCACUGGUGUUCGGGUUGUCAUGCCAAUGGCACUGCCCGGUAGCUAAAUGCGGAAGAGAUAAGUGCUGAAAGCAUCUAAGCACGAAACUUGCCCCGAGAUGAGUUCUCCCUGAGACUUUAAGUCUCCUGAAGGAACGUUAAAGACGAUGACGUUGAUAGGCCGGGUGUGUAAGCGCAGCGAUGCGUUGAGCUAACCGGUACUAAUGAACCGUGAGGCUUAACCUU
rnacentral:rRNA from 1 species